GUAGGGUGCGAGCGUUAAUCGGAAUUACUGGGCGUAAAGCGUGCGCAGGCGGUUGGGUAAGUCAGAUGUGAAAUCCCCGGGCUCAACCUGGGAACUGCAUUUGAGACUGCCCGGCUGGAGUUUGGCAGAGGGGGGUGGAAUUCCACGUGUAGCAGUGAAAUGCGUAGAGAUGUGGAGGAACACCGAUGGCGAAGGCAGCCCCCUGGGCCAAUACUGACGCUCAUGCACGAAAGCGUGGGGAGCAAAC
rnacentral:rRNA from 1 species